rnacentral:rRNA from 1 species
UCGGGAAUUUUGGGCAAUGGGCGAAAGCCUGACCCAGCAACGCCGCGUGAAGGAUGAAGUAUUUCGGUAUGUAAACUUCGAAAGAAUAGGAAGAAUAAAUGACGGUACUAUUUAUAAGGUCCGGCUAACUACGUGCCAGCAGCCGCGGUAAUACGUAGGGACCAAGCGUUGUUCGGAUUUACUGGGCGUAAAGGGCGCGUAGGCGGCAAUUCAAGUCAUCUGUGAAAUCUCCGGGCUUAACUCGGAACGGCCAAGUGAUACUGUCGCGCUAGAGUGCAGAAGGGGCAAUCGGAAUUCUUGGUGUAGCGGUGAAAUGCGUAGAUAUCAAGAGGAACACCUGAGGUGAAGACGGGUUGCUGGGCUGACACUGACGCUGAGGCGCGAAAGCCAGGGGAGCAAACGGGGAUUAGAUACCCUAGUAGUCCCUGAGCGGGCUGGCAAGGCGCAU